rnacentral:rRNA from 1 species
GCCCGCCAAAUCACUACGAGUGAAAACUUAAAACUUAAAAGACUUGACGGUACUUCACACCCAACCUAGAGGAGCCUGUCUAUUAACCGAUAAUCCACGAUUAACCCUGCCCCUUCUGGCCACCCAGCCUAUAUACCGCCGUCGCCAGCUUACCUUGUGAAAGAAACCAAGUAAGCCAAAUAGUACUACACUAACACGACAGGUCAAGGUGUAGCUCAUGAAGAGGACCAAGAUGGGCUACAUUUUCUAACCCAGACCAAACGGACAAAGCUAUGAAACCAGCUCUAAAAGGCGGAUUUAGCAGUAAGCCAAGAACAUAAUACUCAGCUGAAACCAAUGCAAUGAAGUGCGUACACACCGCCCGUCAUCCCUGCCACAACAAACUAACUCUACAUAAUAUACCACACCACACACAAACCAGGGCAAGUCGUAACACGGUAAGCGUACUGGAAAGUGCGCUUAGAAA